AACGAACGCUGGCGGCGUGCUUAACACAUGCAAGUCGAACGAAGUAGCAAUACUUAGUGGCGCACGGGUGAGUAACACGUGGGAAUCUGCCCUAAAGUGGGGGAUAACAGCUGGAAACGGCUGCUAAUACCGCAUAAUCUCGAAAGAGCAAAGAUUUAUCGCUUUAGGAUGAGCCCGCGUCUGAUUAGCUAGUUGGUGAGGUAAUGGCUCACCAAGGCGACGAUCAGUAGCCGGUCUGAGAGGACGAUCGGCCACACUGGGACUGAGACACGGCCCAGACUCCUUCGGGAGGCAGCAGUGGGGAAUUUUGGACAAUGGGCGCAAGCCUGAUCCAGCGACGCCGCGUGAAUGAUGAAGGCCUUCGGGUUGUAAAGUUCUUUUGGCAGGGAAGAUAGUGACGGUACCUGCAGAAUAAGCACCGGCAAACUCUGUGCCAGCAGCCGCAGUAA
rnacentral:rRNA from 1 species